rnacentral:rRNA from 1 species
UUAUUUUGAUAUUAUUUUUUAUUGUUGAAAAAAUUAAUAAUAAUUUAUUGUUAAUAAAAAUUAAAAUUUAUAAUAUUUUUAUUUUUAUUUUUUAGUUUUAAAUAAAAAAAAUAAAAUUUAUAUAUAUAAAAAUUUUGUUAUGAAUUAUAAUAGUUUAUUUAUUUGUUUUUUAUAAUAAAUAAUAGUAUUUUUUUUAUUAUUUUAUAAAAAAAAAUAAUUUAAUUAUAAUUAUUAAAAGUAAUUUUGUUAUUUAGAAUAAUAUAUUAAUAUAAAUAACAAAAAUAUUAAAUAUUUUUUAAAUUUUUUGGGGAUUUAAGUUAUAAUUUUUU